UACGGGGGGGGCAAGCGUUGUUCGGAAUUACUGGGCGUAAAGGGCUCGUAGGCGGCCAACUAAGUCAUACGUGAAAUCCCUCGGCUUAACCGGGGAACUGCGUCUGAUACUGGAUGGCUUGAGUUUGGGAGAGGGAUGCGGAAUUCCAGGUGUAGCGGUGAAAUGCGUAGAUAUCUGGAGGAACACCGGUGGCGAAGGCGGCAUCCUGGACCGACACUGACGCUGAGGCGCGAAAGCUAGGGUAGCAAACGGG
rnacentral:rRNA from 1 species